rnacentral:rRNA from 1 species
UACGAACUGUGCAAACGUUAUUCGGAAUCACUGGGCUUAAAGGGUGCGUAGGCGGCUGUCUAAGUAGGGUGUGAAAGCCCCCGGCUCAACCGGGGAAUUGCGCCCUAAACUGGAUGGCUGGAGUGAGGCAGGGGUGUGUGGAACUUCCGGUGGAGCGGUGAAAUGUGUUGAUAUCGGAAGGAACGCCGGUGGCGAAGGCGGCAUCCUGGACCAAUUCUGACGCUGAGUGAGCGAAAGCCAGGGGAGCAAACGGG